AUUGAACGCUGGCGGCAUGCCUUACACAUGCAAGUCGAACGGCAGCAUAGAGAGCUUGCUCUCUGAUGGCGAGUGGCGAACGGGUGAGUAAAGCAUCGGAACGUACCGUGUAGUGGGGGAUAACGUAGCGAAAGUUACGCUAAUACCGCAUACGUACUGAGGUAGAAAGCAGGGGAUCGUAAGACCUUGCGCUAUACGAGCGGCCGAUGUCAGAUUAGCUAGUUGGUAGGGUAAAGGCCUACCAAGGCGACGAUCUGUAGCGGGUCUGAGAGGAUGAUCCGCCACACUGGGACUGAGACACGGCCCAGACUCCUACGGGAGGCAGCAGUGGGGAAUUUUGGACAAUGGGGGCAACCCUGAUCCAGCCAUGCCGCGUGAGUGAAGAAGGCCUUCGGGUUGCAAAGCUCUUUCGGCCGGGAAGAAAUCGCACAGGCUAAUACCCUGUGUGGAUGACGGUACCGGCAUAAGAAGCACCGGCUAACUACGUGCCAGCAGCCGCCGUAA
rnacentral:rRNA from 1 species